GAUGAACGCUAGCGGCAGGCCUAAUACAUGCAAGUCGAACGGUGUCUUCGGACAUAGUGGCGCACGGGUGCGUAACACGUAUGCAACCUACCUUACAUUGGGGGAUAGCCUUUCGAAAGGGAGAUUAAUACCGCAUAAGACAGUAGCUGGGCAUCCAGCAGCUGUUAAAGAUUUAUCGAUGUAAGCUGGGCAUGCGUCCAAUUAGCUAGUUGGUGAGGUAACGGCUCACCAAGGCUAUGAUUGGUAGGGGAACUGAGAGGUCAAUCCCCCACACUGGCACUGAGAUACGGGCCAGACUCCUACGGGAGGCAGCAGUAGGGAAUAUUGGGCAAUGGACGCAAGUCUGACCCAGCCAUGCCGCGUGCAGGAUGAAGGCGUUAUGCGUUGUAAACUGCUUUUAUACAGGAAGAAACGACUCUUGCGAGAGGCAUUGACGGUACUGUAUGAAUAAGCAUCGGCUAACUCCGUGCCAG
rnacentral:rRNA from 1 species